rnacentral:rRNA from 1 species
GUCGAACGCUCACCUUCGGGUGGGAGUGGCAGACGGGUGAGUAACACGUGGGAACGUACCCUUUGGUUCGGGACAACUCUGGGAAACUGGAGCUAAUACCGGAUACGCCCUUUUGGGGAAAGGUUUACUGCCGAAGGAUCGGCCCGCGUCUGAUUAGCUAGUUGGUGGGGUAACGGCCUACCAAGGCGACGAUCAGUAGCUGGUCUGAGAGGAUGAUCAGCCACACUGGGACUGAGACACGGCCCAGACUCCUACGGGAGGCAGCAGUGGGGAAUAUUGGACAAUGGGCGCAAGCCUGAUCCAGCCAUGCCGCGUGAGUGAUGAAGGCCUUAGGGUUGUAAAGCUCUUUUAUCCGGGACGAUAAUGACGGUACCGGAGGAAUAAGCCCCGGCUAACUUCGUGCCAGCAGCCGCGGUAAUACGAAGGGGGCUAGCGUUGCUCGGAAUCACUGGGCGUAAAGGGCGCGUAGGCGGCGUUUUAAGUCGGGGGUGAAAGCCUGUGGCUCAACCACAGAAUGGCCUUCGAUACUGGGACGCUUGAGUCUGGUAGAGGUUGGUGGAACUGCGAGUGUAGAGGUGAAAUUCGUAGAUAUUCGCAAGAACACCGGUGGCGAAGGCGGCCAACUGGACCGGCACUGACGCUGAGGCG